GCGCUUGUAGAGGAGUCAGGCCGUCCUCACCGCCCUGUCAAGGCGGAAAUCGCGGGUUCAAAUCCCGUCAAGUGCGC
rnacentral:tRNA from 3 species